CACAGCCGCCCCUCGUUUGAUGAGUGAGCAGCUGCCUCGAAAUAACACAAUAAAGAGUCGCUCCUGUCUGGGCUGUCUCUAGAAUAGGGGGCGACAUCUCCAGGAUGGAGUUGCAGCAGGCCUGACUUCAUAUAACAUCCUAAUUAAAUGCUUGUUAUUCAUACAACAGAGGCCUGGUGGUCGAGGUGACACACCAGAUAACAUGACAAGUUCUCUUGGCCUCCUGACAGCAGCUGCUCCAGUGUGCUAAGGCUAAAUGAAGAGUGAAAACCCGAACUCUAGCAAAGUGAUUACAGAGGUGAACUUCCAGGCUCGUAGCUGCAGGGGGACUUGGAAAGACGGUUGCCUGAAACCUUGGAGAGCUGUUGCCAGCCAGUGUGGCUCAUACUAAGUUAGAUGGACCAACGCUCUGACUUGGGAUCAGAUGGCUCCUUAGAAUGCAGGCAGCAGUCCUAAGUGGAGUCAGGGAGGAGCAGAACAGAACAUCCACCGUCAUGCAUCCCAAGCCUCAUUGGCAUGUGACCCAUAUGUGGUUUGUUUGUUUUUGCUACAACGGCUCAUGCCACCUUAAAUAUACCUUCAGAAGGUGGUGGAAAUAUAUUCUUAAAUUAUUCCAACUGCUGAAGGGGUAACUUGAGCCUGCAUCCUUAAAAGGUUAGUGCAGAAGACUGAUUAAACCAGGCUUCCUCAACCUCGGCCCUCCAGAUGUUUUGAGACUACAAUUCCCAUCAUCCCUGACCACUGGUCCUGCUAGCUAGGGAUCAUGGGAGUUGUAGGCCAAAAACAUCUGGAGGGCCGAGGUUGAGGAAGCCUGGGUUAAACCCUUCUGUGAGUCUACAAACUCACAUGGAAUGGGAAACAAAAGACAAAGAGGUUAAGUAUGUAAUGAUAAAGUGGGCAAAGGAUCUGGGACAUAACAUACAAACAAAUGAUUGGGGAAAACUUUGGAAGGUGGAUCCUUAGUUUAUUGAUUAUUAUUUUUGAAAAAAUUAUUGACAAAAAUAUAUAAACUCACAUAGGAAAAUUAAUAAUAAUAAUAAUAAUAAUAAUAGAUUCUCUGAUUUUGAGCAGAUAGUUAAGGAACAAAAAAUCCUGCAAAGCCUGUUAGCUGAGUGGAUUAGACAAAGGAUGGCUGGGCUACAUUCAAAUGCCUUGGAAAAAGAAAAAAAGAACUAUAUUUGGGUGAAAAAGCAUGAUAAAUGGGGCAUAACAUUAACAGCCAAUGUAGAAGGGUGUAGCAAUGCAAGGGAUACAAACUUGGCAAUGUGACAUGAUUUAUCAGAUCAACUAGAAAUAGUUAAUGAGUAUGCAUGCUUUUAAGCUCAACUGGACAGCUGGCUUAUUCAUACACCAACAAUUUUUGCUCCAAUACAAGACAACUCGGGGGGGGGGGGGAUAUGAAGGUUCUAUUAAAUAUGCUCAGGUGCUUAGCAACAUCAUUGCAAUCUUCUCAGCAUCCCCGCCCUCUCCGUGGCAACACGCUGACGGCAUGUUAAAAUUCAGAGAAACAAAAGUUUCCAAAUGGUUUCUGAAAAGCACAAGUCAGCUGGAAGGAGCCAACUAGGAAAGGCUCCAAUGCCAAGAGUAGGUGUUGGGUUUUGUUUUUUUUACUUGCUAUAAAAUUAACAAGCUCUUUGUGGGUUCAGUUUUCAGUUUGGUGCAGGGGGCUCGCAGUGUUUGAGGAAAUGCUGGGGGGCACAGGGAGAAUUCUCAUUUUGGUUCCAAAUGGGAGACAAAGCUUCCCUCAAAUAUUGUUAAUUUGUGAAGCUGCCAGGGUGAUUGAUGCUCUGUGAAAUGGCAGCUUUCCUUGUAGCUUACAGAACUGCUAUUAAUGCAGUCAGAAAGCCUUCACUCCUUCAAGGGAUCCUCACACUGAAUAUUAAUAGCACACAUCUUGCCUCUUCCGUUUGGGUUUCUUUGAAGGAUCCUCUGCCUUGGCAACAAGAGGAUAUGGGAAGCUGAUGGACUAUAUGGAACUGGCGGAGAUGACUGGCAGAAUCCGAGACCAGGGAGAAGAGUCAGUGGAAGAAGACUGGAAAAAGCUUAAAGACUACUUACAGAAAUACUGUAAAAUUAAUGAAUGUUAGGAAAAUGUUGGAAUGAAGUUAUAUGGCUUUAGUAGAAAUGUUAUAAGGAAUUAAGUAUAAAUAGAUUAAUAGAGUACUAAAGGGAAAAAUAAGGUUAGAAUCUUUUAAGAUAAUUGAAAGAUAGAAAGCAGAGGAAGAUGGAAAGGAAUUGCUGAAACAAUUAACAGAAGUGGAAUACAAAAAGGGAGGUGUGAGGAGGUCACUGAAAUAAGUGAACGAAAGAUAAGAUAUGGAAAUUGUUCGAUUUUUUUUUUAAAUUGUUUUUGUUCUGUUAGUUUAGUGCGUUGUGUAGUGUUUUUGUAUUGUGUUGUGCUGUUCUUUUUUCUUCUUAUUUUUGUGUGUGUUUGAAUUGUCGGAAAAGUAAUAAAUAUUAUUUUUUUUAAAAAAGAGGAUAUGGGAAGCAAAGCCUGGCUGCUAAUGCGGGCAGCAUGGAGCGCAAACACAGGGGCAGCCAUCCUGCAGACACACUAGCCUUUCCAUGGCAAGGAUGGAUGGAUGGAUGACUCAGACUAGUGGUCCAUCAAGGUCAGUAUUGUCUACUCCAGGGAUGGAGAACCCAGUGGUGAAGCUGCAUGCUGGAGAGCAGAUGGGUGGAGAGCAGAUGGGUGCUUGACUGGUGCACAUCCUGGGGGAGGGAUGUGGUGCGCAUCCUUGGGGUGUGGCGCGCUGCCCGCAGGGCCGUGGCACCCGCCAUAGUGGGGUGCGUGUGGUGCAUGUCGGGGAGGGGGGCAGCCACAAUGGUUCCCCCUGCCCCCCGUUCCUCCGCCAGUGCCCUUACCUGGACCUUCGACUCUCGCCUGGCCACAGGCUUCCUGACCCCCUCACAUCACCAGCUCUGCUUUGUACCCUCAAGUGUUUUUGUCUAGCUAGAACAGUGGUUCACAAAGGGUGUGGUGUGCCACACUGGUGUGGCAGGAGAGGAUGACAAGUGUGACAGAAAGAUUCAAGGACAAUCACAGAAGCAUUUCAGUAUAGUAUGGCAUGGCAUAGCAUUAGUGUAUAUAUAUAUAUUCUUUGGCACUGCCCUUCUUUGGGAUUGGGAUGUAGACUGAUCUUCUCCAAUCCUCUGGCCACUGCUGAGUUUUCCAAAUUUGCUGGCAUAUUGAGUGUAGCACCUUAACAGCAUCAUCAUUUAAAAUUUUAAAUAGUUCCGCUGGAAUAUCAUCACUUCCACUGGCCUUGUUAUUAGCAAUGCUUUCUAAGGCCCAUUUGACUUCACUCUCCAGGAUGUCUGGCUCAAGGUCAGCAACCACACUACCUGGGGUGUACGAGACAUCCAUAUCUUUCUGGUAUAAUUCCUCUGUGUAUUCUUGCCACCUCUUCUUGAUGUCUUCUGCUUCUGUUAGGUCCUUUCCACUUUUGUCUUUUAUUAUGGUAAUCUUUGUACGAAAUGUUCCUUUCAUAUCUCCAACUUUCUUGAACAGAUCUCUGGUUUUUCCCAUUCUAUUGUUUUCCUCUAUUUCUUUGCAUUGCUCGUUUAAGAAGGCCUUCUUGUCUUUCCUUGCUAUUUUUUGGAAAUCUGCAUUCAAUUUCCUGUAUCUUUCACUAUCUCCCUCGCAUUUUGCUUGCCUUCUCUCCCCCGCUAUUUGUAAGGCCUCGUUGGACAGCCACUUUGCUUUCUUGCAUUUCCUUUUCAUUGGGAUGGUUUUAGUUGCUGACUUCUGUAUAAUGUUACGAGCCUCCAUCCAUAGUUCUUCAGGCACUCUGUCCACCAAAUCUAAAUCCUUAAACCUGUUCCUCACUUCCACUGUGUAUUCAUAAGGGAUUUGACUUAGAUUGUAUCUUACCGGCCCAGUGGUUUUUCCUACUUUCUUCAGUUUAAGCUUGAAUUUUGCUAUAAGAAGCUGAUGAUCUGAGCCACAGUCAGCUCCAGGUCUUGAUUUUGCUGACUGUAUAGAGCUUCUCCAUCUUUGGCUGCAGAGAAUAUAAUCAAUCUGAUUUCGAUGCUGCCCAUCUGGUGAUGUCCAUGCGUAGAGUCGUCUCUUGUGUUGUUGGAAAAGAGUGUUUGUGAUGACCAGCUUGUUCUCUUGGCAGAACUCUAUUAGCCUUUGCCCUGCUUCGUUUUGAAUUCCCAGGCCAAACUGCCAGUUGUUCCUUUUAUCUCUUGACUCCCUACUUUAGCAUUCCAAUCCCCUAUAAUGAGAAGAACAUCUGCCUUGGAUUCGUAUCGAGAUCAUUCUAUCAUUUUUGAGAUUGCAUCCCAGUACAGCUUUCGCCACUCUUUUGUUGACUAUGAGGGCCACUCCAUUUCUUUUACGGGAUUCUUGCCCACAGUAGUAGAUAUGAUAAUCAUCCGAACUGAAUUCGCCCAUUUCCAUCCAUUUUAGUUCACUGAUGCCCAGGAUGUCAAUAUUUAUUCUUGCCAUCUCAUUUUUGACCACAUCCAACUUACCAAGGUUCAUGGUUCUUACAUUCCAGGUUCCUAUGCAAUAUUUUUCUUUCACCUCAUCUGUCUCCUGAGAAAUAUCUAUGUGGGACAAGAAGCUACAGUUAGAACUGGAUAUGGAACAACUGAUUGGUUCAAAAUUGGGAAAGGAGUAUGGCAAGGCUGUAUACUGUCUCCCUGCUUAUUUAACAUAUAUGCAGAAUUCAUCAUGCGAAAGGCUGGGCUGGAUGAGUCCCAAGCCGGAAUUAAGAUUGCCGGAAGAAAUAUCAACAACCUCAGAUAUGCAGAUGACACAACCUUGAUGGCAGAAAGUGAGGAGGAAUUAAAGAACCUUUUGAUGAGGGUGAAAGAGGAGAGCACAAAAAUGGCCUGAAGCUCAACAUCAAAAAAACGAAGAUCAUGGCCACUGGUCCCAUCACCUCCUGGCAAAUAGAAGGGGAAGAAAUGGAGGCAGUGAGAGAUUUUACUUUUUUGGGCUCCAUGAUCACUGCAGAUGGUGACAGCAGUCACAAAAUUAAAAGAUGCCUGCUCCUUGGGAGAAAGGCGAUGGCAAACCUAGACAGCAUCUUAAAAAGCAGAGAGAUCACCUUGCCAACAAAGGUCCGUAUAGCUAAAGCCAUGGUUUUCCCAGUAGUGAUGUAUGGAAAUGAGAGCUGGACCAUCAAGAAGGCUGAUCGCCAAAAAAUUGAUGCUUUUGAAUUAUGGUGCUGGAGAAGACUCUUGAGAGUCCCAUGGACUGCAAGAAGAUCAAACGUAUCCAUUCUUAAGGAAAUCAGCCCUGAGUGCUCACUGGAAGGACAGAUCGUGAAGUUGAGGCUCCAAUACUUUGGCCACCUCAUGAGAAGAGAAGACUCCCUGGAAAAGACCCUGAUGUUGGGAAAGAUGGAGGGCACAAGGAGAAGGGGACGACAGAGGACGAGAUGGCUGGAUAGUGUUUACAAAGCUACAAACAUGAGUCUGACCAAACUGCGGGAGAAAGUGGAAGACAGGAG